UGUUAUAGAGUUACGGGUGGGACAGGGAGGGGCUGGGGAGAAGGUGGGAGGAAUGGAGGGAGUGAUCCAGGUGAAAGUGUUGGGAGACCUUUUCUCUCCUUCCUUGAGGAGAAUAUGUGGGAUUGAAAGGUGGCUAGAUGAAGGCAAAGUUUCUGUUUAAUUGCACUCACCUACCCAGUCAGAUCAGUGAUUACUUUCAGGCAGUCAGGAUGCAUUUUGGGGACUCCAAGGAGAAAUUGGCUUUGCAGCGGGCGGCAGUCAUUCAUAAAAACAAAAUAGUCAUCUCAACGAAUAAAAAAGAUAUGACAAGAGGACCAGGUGGAGGGCCAGUGGAAAUCGGGCAGGAGGACCAGGUGGAGGGCCAGUGGAAAGGGGCCAGGAGGACCAGGUGGAGGGCCAGUGGAAAGGGGCCAGGAACACCAGGUGGGGGGCCAGUGGAAAAGAGGCAGGUGGGCCAGUGGAAAGUGGGCAGGAGGACCAGGUGGAGGGCCAGUGGAAAGUGGGCAGGAGGACCAGGCGAAGGGCUAGUGGAAAAAGGGUGCAGGAGCACCAGAUGAAGGGGUGUGGAGGGCCAGUGGAAAAUGGGCAGGAGGACCAGGUAGAGGGCCAGUGGAAAAUGGGCAGGAGGACCAGGUAGAGGGCCAGUGGAAAUGGGGCAGGAGGGCCAGUGGAAAUGGGGCAGGAGGACCAGGUAGAGGGCCAGUGGAAAUGGGGCAGGAGGACCAGGUAGAGGGCCAGUGGAAAUCGGGCAGGAGGACCAGGUAGAGGGCCAGUGGAAAUGGGGCAGGAGGGCCAGUGGAAAUGGGGCAGCAGGACCAGGUAGAGGGCCAGUGGAAAUGGGGCAGGAGGACCAGGUAGAGGGCCAGUGGAAAUGGGGCAGGAGGACCAGGUAGAGGGCCAGUGGAAAUGGGGCAGCAGGACCAGGUAGAGGGCCAGUGGAAAUGGGGCAGGAGGACCAGGUGGAGGGCCAGUGGAAAUGGGGCAGGAGGACCAGGUGGAGGGCCAGUGGAAAUGGGGCAGGAGGACCAGGUGGAGGGCCAGUGGAAAUGGGGUAGGAGGACCAGGUGUUGGGCCAGUGGAAAUGGGGCAGGAGGACAAGGUAGAGGGCCAGUGGAAAUGGGGCAGGAGGACAAGGUAGAGGGCCAGUGGAAAUGGGGCAGGAGGACAAGGUAGAGGGCCAGUGGAAAUGGGGCAGGAGGACCAGGUAGAGGGCCAGUGGAAAUGGGGCAGGAGGGCCAGUGGAAAUGGGGCAGGAGGACAAGGUAGAGGGCCAGUGGAAAUGGGGCAGGAGGGCCAGUGGAAAUGGGGCAGGAGGACAAGGUAGAGGGCCAGUGGAAAUGGGGCAGACAGCACAAACUGUCGUUCUGUUACCAAACUUUGCAUCUGCACUGUUCUUCAAGUAAUUGCCUUUUUGUCAAAUGUUCUGUGGAAAUUGUUAAAAGUAGUCCUUGUGCAGACCUGUAUCAUUAGUUUAACUUUGCAAUCAUUGUUUUUUGUUUGACAUACAUUUUAUACAUCGGUCUCGAUGUUACAGUGGAGUUGUCCUUCUAUAAACACCUCUGAUGCUGUCAGCAUCAUUUUACAAAUAUUCCUGAUGCUGUCAGCAUCGGUCUUUAACCACCUCUGAUGCUGUCAGCAUCAUUGCCUAUUGCUUUAUUUAUCCGUUUUUCAUUUAGGUCCCUCUUUUUCUGUAAUUCAUAUUUUUCGCACUCAAUCAAGUAACUUAAUGAAAACUGGGAUAGUUCUUUCCCCCACGUCUAAUAAAAGUAAUUGUGCUUUAUA